rnacentral:rRNA from 1 species
CGCGGCCUAUCAGCUUGUUGGUGAGGUAAUGGCUCGCCAAGGCAACGACGGGUAGCCGGCCUGAGAGGGCGACCGGCCACACUGGGACUGAGACACGGCCCAGACUCCUACGGGAGGCAGCAGUGGGGAAUAUUGGGCAAUGGGCGCAAGCCUGACCCAGCGACGCCGCGUGAGGGAUGAAGGCCUUCGGGUUGUAAACCUCUUUCAGUAGGGAAGAAGCGAAAGUGACGGUACCUAAAGAAGAAGCACCGGCUAACUAUGUGCCAGCAGCCGCGGUAAUACAUAGGGUGCAAGCGUUGUCCGGAAUUAUUGGGCGUAAAGAGCUCGUAGGUCGUUUGCCGCGUCGAUUGUGAAAAUCUGAGGCUCAACCUCAGACCUGCAGUCGAUACGGGCAAACUAGAGUGUGGUAGGGGAGACUGGAAUUCCUGGUGUAGCGGUGGAAUGCGCAGAUAUCAGGAGGAACACCAAUGGCGAAGGCAGGUCUCUGGGCCAUAACUGACACUGAGGAGCGAAAGCGCGGGGAGCGAACAGGAUUAGAUACCCUGGUAGUCCGCGCCGUAAACGGUGGGCACUAGCUGUGAGGACCUUCCACGGUCUUCGAUACGCAGCAAACGCAUUAAGUGCCCCGCCUGGGGAGUACGG